GCGAGGCAGAAGGGAAAGGGAUUAAGUGCUACAGACACGAUCCCAUCUGCUCAGCUACCGCUGCAACCUUUGGAGGGUCUUCUCUGCCCCUUCCAAACUAUCCAGCCAAGCAGCCCUGUUUUACAGCAAAAGCGGCAGAGUCGGGACAAUGAACGCAAAGACUGACCUUUACUAGUGCUUCAAACAGUCUCAGUCUCUCCUCACCAUAGAAUAGAGGGAAACAUUUCCAAAACUCUUGACAUAUAGCAGUGUAGCCUUUUCCACGGGUUUAAAAGCUGAGCAAGUAGUGGUGUAGUUACGCAUCUCUGCCUGAUCUUAACUGUACAGUUCUGCUUAUGGCAAGUUGGUUAGUGGGAGGUGAGUGAGAUUUAGGUAGAAGUGCGUGUUUUCUUGGGGAAGACAGUGCGUGAACCCUGGCAGUGAAAGUGACUCUGAGAGAGAUCGGUUCCAAACAUGCUACAUCUUCAUUGAAAACAAACAAAAAAGUUU